UCAGAUCCCCGCCCCCCCUCCAGGCCCAGCUUGUGUUUGCCCGUGGCUUCCUGGUGGGAGAAGCAGAAGCCAGACACCCUGUGCCAAUUUGUGGUAUUUACCUGGGGCACUUGAGAAACAUGGCCGGUCAGGGAAUUGACUCAGAGCCUGGUUUGGGAAAUAUUGAUCUGAAAAGAUCAAUGUGGCCGUCCAGAGAGUUCUUUGAUGAACUCGGGUUUUUUUUUUAAGGACCUGCAAAGUCAAGUGUACCAAAAAGGCGCUGGCAUUUGCGUGUCUCAAGCUGGACCCAGGAGGCUGGAGUCACCGACCCGGAAGGAUGCUGGAUGCUUUUAACAGGGGUGACCAGGAACAUAAACUACAGCAACACACACACACAGAGACACACACGGAGCAUGAAACUGGCCAUUAGCCCCUCUACGUGAUUGCAGGUCACUAUCUACCUACAAGGGGUUUUCAACGUCAGACGUCCGCCCCGCUCAAACAAUUACACCAGUGCUUCAGAUGGGACUCGGUGAACAGUGUGCUUGCCCUGAAGUGGGGUCCACAGAUGACACGGCGGCCCUGGACGUGGUAUAUCAGAACCCUUCCGGGCAGGAACGGAGAUGAUGGCACCACUGCCCGUUACCUGGCUGGGAAUCCCCUGCGGAAUGAAUCCACUCUCCCGAGUAGGCAUCCGGCGAGCGCCUACUAUCUGUCAGGCACUGGAGAACAAAGGCACAGCUCGUACUGAGGGACCUAAGGCUCCAAGACGAGAUGAACGGAGGAGGCUGUUUCGACACAAGCUCGGGGAGUUUGGACGACACUCGGGACAGCCCACGUUGAAGGGGCGGUGCAGAAGCCCGUGCACACAGUCUUAAGCUGAAGAUGAUGGCUUCCAGGGUCACAAGGGCGCUAUAAAACGUGACAGGGCCUAGGUGGUUCCAGACCGGCGAAGGAGAAAUACGAGCGAGCGGAGAAGACAUCCCAGAGAAACAGAUGUCCAACAGGGACAGGAGGGGGGGUGGCGGGAGCAAAGUCACUGCACAGAAGACAAAGGGCCCCCCACCUUGCCUCAGUCAGAACGUCCCGUGCAAGCAGCUAACUAAGUCCCCUCGCCUGGUUAAACAGAGAGGCUGACUGAGGGUACCGAAUCAUCUCCUUAAGAGGCCACAGACACAGCCGGGAAGAGGUAAGCGACCAUGAGGACAGGCGCCCUUCACCGUGGGACUGUUAUCAGGGGAUACCUGGCUACCACCUGGGGCCAGGCAUGGAAACCUCUGCCAGAGUCGCCCCCAGGUGAAGAAAACACCUCAGCCACGGUGCCCAGAACAGCCUCAGCACGGGACGGUCUCGUCCCAUACCACCUAGCUGAAGGUUCUCCUUCAGACAGCCCCGGGGUCAAGGGCACCAUGAGUGACAUCCAAGGAAGGCUUCUGUGGGAGAGAAUCAAUGCAAUGAAGAUGGAGUCCAAGAAAGGAAAAAGAAAAGAAUAAUCUUUAUUACUUGGAGACACAUUGUAAAAAAAAAAUGCUUGGUCGUUAAGAUGAAGAGACCAGAACACAUUUAUUCAGAUGCAGCACAUACCCUGGGGAUCGGAACACACCCGUAAACAAGCAUCUGGGGGCGUUGAUGAGAAGGCGGUCCACUCCCCUGUGCAAGCGUGCAGAGGACUCCUUCCUCAAGAGACUUUUGCAGAACCAAAAAGGCCAGAUUUUUAGCAAGAGAAGAUGUUAACACAUGUCCAAGGGUUUAAAAGGAACCAGAUUUAUAAUCACACAUAUCCAAGUGACACAAAAUUAACUGAAUUGCAAACAAACAAACAAAAAAAAAACACAAAUGAAAGAGCAUCCUGGGGCUGCCUAUUAA